ACGCUCGACACCUACGGGAGCAGCAGUGGGGAAUAUUGCACAAUGGGGGAAACCCUGAUGCAGCGACGCCGCGUGAGCGAAGAAGUAUUUCGGUAUGUAAAGCUCUAUCAGCAGGGAAGAUCAUGACGGUACCUGACUAAGAAGCUCCGGCUAAAUACGUGCCAGCACGCCGGACGGUAAUCUGGAGGCCGGGUCGUGGACGAAGGC
rnacentral:rRNA from 1 species